AGGUGCGAUCAUAACAGCACUAAUGCACCGGAUCCCUUCAGAACUCUGCAGUGAAGCGUGCUUGGGCGAGAGUAGUACUAGGAUGGGUGACCUCCUCGGAAGUCCUCGUGUUGCACCUCU
rnacentral:rRNA from 1 species